ACCUGACUGUCUCCUUUGUCCAAUCAGUGAAACUGAUCUCCUCGUGCAGAAGCGAGGAUUUUCCCAUAAGACGAGAAGACCCUAUGGAGCUUUAAACCUUUAUCAAUUAUUUUCUUUACCCUUCUAAGGAACUAACAGCCAGUUAAAUUCCCUUGAUAAAAGUUUUGGGUUGGGGCGACCAUGGAGAAAAAGAAAUCCUCCCUGAUGAUAACCUAACCAAGAGCCACAGCUCUAAGUAUUAAGACACUUAACUCCUAUUGACCCAUUUUAUGAUCAACGAACCAAGUUACCCUAGGGAUAACAGCGCAAUCCAUUUCAAGAGUCCCUAUCGACAAAUGGGUUUACGACCUCGAUGUUGGAUCAGGGCAUCCAAGUGGUGCAACCGCUACUAAAGGUUCGUUUGUUCAACGAUUAAAGCC
rnacentral:rRNA from 1 species